GAAACGGCUCGUCAACCACCUCGGUAGUUUGCUAGACAACAUAGCCGAAAGAUUCAAGCUAUUUAUAUGCUUUCGGCCUAUAUUAGCUGCUGUGUUUUAGACACACUUCUGUCGUAUCUACUUGUUAACCUAUUUAUUGUAAUUUUACGUUAUUUUGUAUUAGUCAGCUAUAGUAGCUGUCUGGUUAAGUUAGCACUAGCCUAGUCGCUAAUGAUAGAUAGCUAACAUCCCCGACCAUGAGCUCCCUAAACUACUAUCCUCCUGUCAAAGAAGAGAUCUGCUGGACAGAGAAAGAAACUCUGGGGCUGAAUGUUGUCGUGAAAGAGGAGGAUGUUAAAGUAAAACGAGAAGUAGAGGGUGAGGCUGUUACAGUGAAAGAAGAAGAGAAAAACGUUUCAGUGAAACAAGAGGAAGACACGUUCAGAGUGAAAGAGGAUGAGGAUGUUACAGUGAAAGAAGGGGUUGGAAGAGAAAGAUGAUGAUGCAGUUUUUGGAGUGCAGAAGGAAGGGCAGAUUACUGUCACAUUGGAAGAUGAAGAGGAGGAGAUAGGAGAUCUGAUUAACACCAGACCUGAGCCCUAGGACCAUGCCUCAGGACUACCUGACAUGAUGACUCCUUGCUGUCCCCAGUCCACAUGGCCGUGCUGCUGCUCCAGUUUCAACUGUUCUGCCUUAUUAUCAUUCGACCAUGCUGGUCCUUUAUGAACAUUUGAACAUCUUGGCCAUGUUCUGUUAUAAUCUCCACCCGGCACAGCCAGAAGAGGACUGGACACCCCACAUGGUUCCUCUCUAGGUUUCUUCCUAGGUUUUGGCCUUUCUAGGGAGUUUUUCCUAGCCACCGUGUUUCUACACCUGCAUUGCUUGCUGUUUGGGGUUUUAGGCUGGGUUUCUGUACAGCACUUUGAGAUAUCAGCUGAUGUACGAAGGGCUCUAUAAAUACAUUUGAUUUGAUUUGGUGGGUCCAACAAGUAAAUAAAUUGAAAUAAAUUUGCCCAAAUGAUAUAAUUACCCCAAAGAAAGGAUUGCCAAAUUAUUUCCCAAUAUGAAUGAGACCCCCUUCACCAGUAGGCUAGGCCUCACUCCAACGACAACGGAAUGAGAAAUGUUUUAAGGUUAUACCAAGGAUCAUUUUGCUAUUUAAUUUGAAUUGUAAGACGCCUUGAAGUAUCAACAAAAAAUAUUUCAAAAUUAUUUGUCAAAAAAUGAUUUGUCCAUACUGCUGUAAACACAUUGGAGAACGUUCACAACAUGGAACAACCGUAACAAUAGUAACACAUUGGAUAACAUUCACAACAUGGAAGAACAGUAACCAUAGUAACACAUUGGAUAAAAUUCACAACAUGGAACAACAGUAACCAUAGUAACAUUGUUUCCCCCCCCAAAAUUAAAGGAAGUUUGUUCUGAGGUGUCGGUCCUGUAUCUGAGAGAUAUAAUAACAAAUAUAGAUGUGUAUAUAUACAGUGGGGCAAAAAAGUAUUUAGUCAGCCACCAAUUGUGCAAGUUCUCCCACUUAAAAAGAUGAGGCCUGUAAUUUUCAUCAUAGGUACACUUCAACUAUGACAGACAAAAUGAGAAAAAUAAAAUCCAGAAAAUCACAUUUUAGGAUUUUUAUGAAUUUAUUUGCAAAUUAUGGUGGAAAAUAAGUAUUUGGUCAAUAACAAAAGUUUAUCUCAAUACUUUGUUAUAUACCCUUUGUACAUAGUACAUAGUAAACGGUCUGAAUACUUAUGUAGAUUUUUCAGUUUAUUUGAAUAAAUUAGCAAAAAAAUCUAAAAACAUGUUUUUGGUUUGUCAUUAUAGUGUCACUAUGUGUGUAGAUUGGUGAAUAUUAUUGUUAUUUUUUUAUCCAUUUUAGAACAAGGCUGCCAUGGUAACGUAACAAAAUGUGGAAAAAGUGAAGGGUUUUGAAUACUUUCCGAAUGCACUGUGUUGUUACAUCAUGUAGGAGCAGUAUAGACCUAGUCUGUUCAUUAUAGACAUCUACAUGAUGUAUUGUUACACCAUGUAGGAGCAGUAUAGACCUAGUCUGUUCAUUAUAUACAUCUACAUGAUGUAUCGUUACACCAUGUAGCAGCAGUAUGGAGGUACAGUGGGGGACAAAAUUGUUGACACCCUUGAUAAACGACUAUAAGAUAAGGAAUUCAAAUACUGAGCUAUAUUGUAUGUAACAAAUAAAGGGAAAUUAUAUUAUUUGAUACUAAUACAAUUGCUCAGAGAAAGAGAUUUAGUUUAACAUGUAAUUCUCAAAAGGUAGGGGUCUGAAUUAUUGCCACCCAUGUUUUCAAUACUCCAGCACCAUCCCCUUGGGAGGAUAACGACACUGAAAUGUUUUAUGAGAUUAGAGAACACAUUGGGUGGGAUUUUAGACCAUUCCUCCAUACAUAAUCUCUCCAGGGGCCUGUUGCACAAAAGUAGAAUUAAGACAUCCGGGAUAAAUGACUCAGCUGAGCUCAAUGAAGCCAAAACAUGUGCGUCCAGGCUUAAUUGGUUGCACAAAGACCAAGCCAGGAUGAGCAGACACGGAUUCAUUAAGCCAGGUGAAACCAAUCCUGGAUAGGUGCGCGCUCACGGCUCACUCAAAUAGACCCCGCCACAGAUCACAGAUUAACUGAUUUACCAUGGCAACUAGAGCCGCGUACUUUUCCCCGUCGGAAGCACAAAUCCUCAUGGAGGCAUACGAGGAGGUAAAAGAUAUAAUUAAGAAGAAAGGCAACACCGCCACAGUGAUAAAGCAAAGAGAAAAAGCGUGGCAAAGUAUUGCAGACCGCCUGAAUGCGUAAGUAGUGCACAAUUACACACUCACUGCUCCGCUGAAACAUCACAAUUACAAUUCAAAUAUUUAAUUCACAUCUCCAAAAAUGCAGUUGUACUGUAAUUAUGAAACGGUUAAAUUUUUAAUUGAAAUGCACUGCAGAUAUGAGUGAAAUUGUGUAAAGUAACUCCAUCACACUGUAUAAAGCUAUGAUACAUUUUUUGAUAUUUUUACUGAAAACAAGACAAAAAUAGUAAUUUUUUGCAGUGUGACUCCAUUAAAUGUGUGUGUGUGUGUGUGUGUAGAUUAAACAUGAACGGGCCAAAACGGACAUGGCAGCAGGUCAAAAUCAAAUACAAGAACAUUCUGCAGAAUGCAGUGAAAAAGAAUACCUACAGACAAGGCACGGGUGGUGGGUCACCAAAGGCUGACCUUACCCCAGCAGAGGACAUGGCCUUGGAGCUAAAUAAAGGCAGGCCCGUCUUAGAGGGGAUCCCUGGGGGGAAAGAGACGAGCAUAGGUUCCUCCCAAGAUGCCACCCGCUUCA